UGCUACUCAGGCAACAGUAUUCAAACUCUACACUGCUGCUUGUAGGGGUUUGUUUGGGAGAAGCUCUUUUUUGUUUUGUUUUCAAGACAGAGUUUCUCUGUAUAACCCUGUCUUGGAAUUCACCCUGUAGGCCAGGCUGGCCUUAAACUCAAGAGAUCUGCCUGCCUUGGCCUCCCCAGUACUGGGAUUAAAGGUAUGAGUCACCACCCAGCCUUUUUUUUUUAAUGAUUUAUUUAUUUUUAUCUUAUGUAUGUUGGUGUUUGCCUGUAUGUAUAUCUGUAUGGGGCUGUUGGAUCCCCUAGAAUUGGAGUUAGAGACAGCUGUAAGCUGCUAUGUGGGUGUUGGGAGUUGAACCUGGGUCCUCUGGAGGAGUAGCCAGUGCUCCUAACUGCUAAGCCAUCUCUCCAACCCCUGGGACAAGUUCUUAUGUAAUACAAGCUAGCUCAACCUUGAGAUCCUCUUGCCAUAGCCUCCUGAAUGCUGGGAUGUAGGUGUGUGUGUCAUCAUACCUGACAACGUUUUUGUUUGUAAUCUUUAAUCUUCUCAUUUCAUUUCAUCAACACUGAUAACUAGAUUUUAGUUUGGUGAAUCUGCCCCAGUGUUGAAGCUGUGGUCAUCCACCAUCCAUCGGUGGAUCAGAGCAGGAAUCCCAUCUUCACAUCACUGCAGGGGGCUGCAGUGGUCCACAUACACCACCGGCAGCUAGCAAGUCUAGGUGUUUUCUCAUCCUCAGAUGAGAGCUCACAUAACAACGUGGAACCCAUAAAACUUACAGACUCUCAUGACGGCUCAGUGGGUAAAAGUACUUGCCACUGAAGACCUGAGUUCAGUUCCUGGGGGCCCACACAGUCGGAGAGAGCUGAUGCCGGUAAACUGUCCUCUGACCUCUACAUGAGUGUCAUGGCACUAGGGAAAGGGGGAAUCAUCGUGAGGAGUUGCAGGAUGAGCAACUUUCUGAAGCUUAUUUAUUGCAAUAACUAUAAAAAAACCUAAACCUUUUCUUAGUUGAUUCAGGAAGUCACAGGCUUUGUGGGAUCGGUUAAAGGAACAAGCAACAGGAGUAGAGCAAUGGAAAGGGGCAGUAAGUGGAAAUAGGUGGAGGUAAACCAGGCAUGCCACUGCAGGGACAGACUAUAAAUGACAGAGCAGAGAAGGGCUUUACCUCAGUGUACACAGCAGCAGUGAUGGGGAAAACACAGCUGAGGGAUUAUUUAAUUCAGAGGGGAAACUAGAAGACAUGGCAACUGUAGGAGUGACUGUGGUUGAUAGACUUUUCUAGAAAUGAGUGUCAGAAAGGUUGUGACCCGAGACUAUAGCAUCUAGAUGCAUUCUGUGAACAGCCAAACAUGUCCAUCUAUGCUGUGCUAAGCAUAACCUCGAACAAACAAACAAACUUUAACUGAGUGAAGGACAAAUGAAGAUGAACUUAAGAAGAGAGUGCCUGUUGGGAAAGACCUGCAGAUUCCAGAAAGACUACCAGGAAGGAGAGGGCCACCCACGUUCUUAAUAAACUUUUAUCUUGGCCAACCACAGAGUCCAACGAGUCUACAGAAUGUGUACCAGGUUGGAUCUGGGUCAACCUCAAAUGUGGUUCCUCACGGAUGGUUGUUUCCCCUGGGACCAGAUUGUAUAACCAGGCACAAAAUAUACAUCUGGGAAAUCCUCUUCCUGUGGCCUGGUUUACUAUAGAUUCAGAAGUUCAGUUAGGUGAGAGGGUAGAGGAGCCAUGUUAAACAAAACAGGAACAAAAAGUAAAAAAUAUAUAUAUACUGAAAGGAAAUACUUUUAAAUGACUCAAGAGGCAGAGGCAGGAGGAUCUCCAUAAAUUCAAGUCCAGUCUGGUCUACAGAACCAGUUCCAGGAUGGCUAGGGCUACUUAGUUAGACCCAAUU
rnacentral:lncRNA from 1 species